AUCGAACGCUGGCGGCAGGCCUAACACAUGCAAGUCGAACGAGUGGCGGACGGGUGAGUAAUUUCCGGGAAACUGCCUGAUGGAGAGGGCUAACUACUGGAAACGGUAGCUAAUACCGCAUACCAUCGGAUGUGCCCACAUGGGAUUAGCUAGUAGGUGGGGUAAAGUCUCACCACGGCGACGAUCCCUAGCUGGUCCGAUAGGAUGACCAGCCACACUGGAACUGAGACACGGUCCAGACUCCUACGGGAGGCAGCAGUAGGUAAUAGUGCACAAUGGGCGCAAGCCUGAUGCAGCCAUGCCGCGUGUAUGAAGAAGGGCUUCGGGUUGUAAAGUACUGUCGGCGGGGAGGCGGUACCCGCAGAGGAAGCCCCGGCUAACUCCGUGCCAGCAGCCGCGGUAAUUC
rnacentral:rRNA from 1 species